GUUUUGGCUGAGUUAAAAUGGGGAAAAGAGAAAGAAGAGGGAAAGAAGAUUAGGGUUUUGAGGAAGGGGAGGAGAUCGGAUCAGAACCGACGCCGGAGAACCGAGUCCCCAAUCUAAACCGUUGAAUAGCUCGAGGCAAGGUGCUCUCACGAAUCGCACCUUCCUAUCUCGACAAAACGUUCAAGAACUUCAGCGCUAUCUGGUUAAGUUCUGAAGUGAAGGCGGCCAAGAUCGGCGUUCAAAUCGGAGUUUAAAGAUAACGUGAUUUUCGGACUUGUGAAGAAAAUUCCAGAAUUGUUGGAAUCCAUUCCGUCAAGAAAACUUGAACUCGGGAAGGCACGCGUCGACCAUGCGAGUGAGGCCAGGGAUCGAGGCGGGAAUGCAUGCUGAAUCUUAAUGCCACAGAGGAGUGUCCCGGG